GUGUGUGAUAAUCUUGGCAGCCAACUCCAUCUUUAUUCUAACUACAUUUUAACUCAUACUUUAUUAAAUUUCCCAGGUAAAAUAGAGUUUAACACGGUCAAAUACUUUAACAAGUAUAUAGAAUCACAGAUAAGUGUUUCCGGGGGACUACAUUACUGCCGCACCGCGCCAAACUACAAACCCGCCUGUCAACUCCACCACAAGAAAAAGAUAAACAUUUAAAAUGCCUGUGAAGAGAGCCCUUCAGUUACAAGACAAAGAAAAUAGCCCUGCUAAGAGGCGAGCACCAAACAGGGACUAUUCCCCUGUGACUGGAACCCAAAUGAGUCCCACGACAAAACCUGCAGGUACUAAAACCCACAGACUAGC